rnacentral:rRNA from 1 species
UACGUAGGGCGCAAGCGUUGUCCGGAAUUAUUGGGCGUAAAGAGCUCGUAGGCGGUCUGUCGCGUCCGUUGUGAAAACUCGAGGCUCAACCUCGGGCUUGCAGUGGAUACGGGCAGACUAGAGUGCGGUAGGGGAGACUGGAAUUCCUGGUGUAGCGGUGGAAUGCGCAGAUAUCAGGAGGAACACCGGGGGCGAAGGCGGAUCUCUGGGCCUUACCGGACGCUGAGGUGCGAAAGCGUGGGGAGCGAACAGG